rnacentral:rRNA from 1 species
GGGGAAUCUUCCGCAAUGGGCGCAAGCCUGACGGAGCAACGCCGCGUGAGUGAAGAAGGCCUUCGGGUUGUAAAACUCUGUCAUCAGGGAAGAAGAAAGUGACGGUACCUGAGGAGGAAGCCCCGGCUAACUACGUGCCAGCAGCCGCGGUAAAACGUAGGGGGCGAGCGUUGUCCGGAAUUACUGGGCGUAAAGGGCGCGUAGGCGGUUAUCCAAGUCAGGGGUGAAAACCUUGGGCUCAACUCAGGGCCUGCCUCUGAAACUGGGUAACUUGAGGGCAGGAGAGGGGAGUGGAAUUCCCAGUGUAGCGGUGAAAUGCGUAGAUAUUGGGAGGAACACCAGUGGCGAAGGCGGCUCUCUGGCCCAACCCUGACGCUGAGGCGCGAAAGCGUGGGGAUCAAAC